UGUUGGGUUAAGUCCCGCAACGAGCGCAACCCCUGUCCCAUGUUGCCAGCGAUUCGGUCGGGGACUCAUGGGAGACUGCCGGUGACAAAUCGGAGGAAGGUGGGGAUGAUGUCAAGUCAUCAUGCCCCUUAUGUCCAGGGCUACACACGUGCUACAUUGGCCGGUACAAAGGGCUGCAAACCCGCGAGGGGGAGCGAAUCCCAAAAAGCCGGUCCCGGUUCGGAUUGGAGGCCGAAACUCGCCUCCAUGAAGUCGGAGUUGCUAGUAAUCGCGGAUCAGCAACGCCGCGGUGAAUACGUUCCCGGGCCUUGUACACACCGCCCGUCACACCACGAAAGUUGGCAACACCCGAAGCCGGUGGCCUAACCCCUUGUGG
rnacentral:rRNA from 1 species